UACGUAGGGUGCAAGCGUUAAUCGGAAUUACUGGGCGUAAAGCGUGCGCAGGCGGUUGUGCAAGACAGAGGUGAAAUCCCCGGGCUCAACCUGGGAACUGCCUUUGUGACUGCAUAGCUAGAGUACGGUAGAGGGGGAUGGAAUUCCGCGUGUAGCAGUGAAAUGCGUAGAUAUGCGGAGGAACACCGAUGGCGAAGGCAAUCCCCUGGACCUGUACUGACGCUCAUGCGACGAAAGGCGUGGGGAGCAAACGAG
rnacentral:rRNA from 1 species